CGCCUUUCAACUCCAGUAGUAGUAGGAGCUGUAGCGGUAACUGUGCUGAGGAGUACCCACGGUACUUAGGAGGACGACUAUCAUCGGAUGACAUGUGGAAAUGAAAAGGGGAUUUCUGCGUGUCUGCACUUCUCGAACGCUGUCAGACGGGAAACCCAUGACUCUGUCCCCGACCUCGUCCGUCUGGUUUAGUGGACCCUACACUUAGACGGCGACAGCAUUGAACAAUAGCUGUGGGUAUUGGAUAGUACCUCUCCUCCUUUUUUCCAGGUCUUUCUUUUCCUUCACACACAUGUUCAAAACACACACACACACACACUCUCUCACACACAGUUACUUCAGCUAGACUCUUGGACAGCGGCCAAGAGUAGACAGCUGAGUUACCACAACUCCUGGCCGUGGAGAGAUGUGGCUUUAACAUGGACGAUGCCCAGGAAAAGACUCUCGUCUUCGUGAAAUGCACCGAGUCUCCUCAGAGGGUUUGUGACAGAUAAUCAGCCAGGCCUCAGGAUGAAACUGGAACGGAGGUGAAAGACUUGCGUCAGGUGGAAGCUUGAGCCUGCUCCGCUGCAACACUAACACACCCAGAGCCUAACAGAAACAGAAACGGCACCUUCCACAGCAACUGGAAUCCUACAGAGUCAACAUUUCUUAACUUCUUAUCA
ensembl:lncRNA